rnacentral:rRNA from 1 species
CACGUAGGAAUCUACCCAGUAGUGGGGAAUAGCCCUCCGAAAGGAGGGGUAAUACCGCAUACACCCUUCGGGGAAAAGGCCUCGGCCGCUAUUGGAGGAGCCUGCGCGCUAUCAGCUAGUUGGUGGGGUAACUGCCUACCAAGGCUAUGACGGCUAGCCGAUGUGAGAGCAUGAUCGGCCACAAGGUUACUGAGACACGGAGCCUACACCUACGGGUGGCAGCAACUAGGAAUCUUGCGCAAUGGACGAAAGUCUGACGCAGCAACACCGCGUGUGGGAAGACGCUCCUCGGAGUGUAAACCACUGUGGCAAGGGAACAAGUACUGAGCGUACCUUGCUAGAAAGCACCUGCUAACCACGUGCCAGAAGCCUCGGUAAUACGUGGGGUGCAAGCGUUAUCCGGAAUUACUGGGCGUAAAACGUCCGUCGGCGGUGUAUCAAGUCUUUUGUUUAAGCCUGGGGCUCAACUCCAGAUCGGCAAAGGAAACUGAUACACUUGAGUCUAUUCGGGGAAGCUGGAAUUCUCGGUGGAGGGGUGAAAUCCGUAGAUAUCGAGAGGAACGCCAAUCGCGAAAGCAGGCUUCUAGAGUAGUACUGACGCUCAGGGACGAAGGCUAGGGUAGCAAAAGGGAUUAGAGACCCCUGUAGUCCUAGCCGUAAACGUUGGAUGCUAGUUGCUCCGAUUUCGAUCGGAGUGGCGUAAGCUAACGCGUUAAGCAUCCUGCCUGGGGAGUACGGCCGCAAGGCUAAAACUCAAAGGAAUUGACGGGGGAGCGCACAACCGGUGGAGCAUGUGGUUUAAUUCGAUACAAAGCGAAAAACCUUACCUGGGUUUGACAUCUCGCUUAUGUCUCUCUGGAAACAGAGGGUCUUAAAGGCGAUGACAGGUGAUGCAUGGCUGUCGUCAGCUCGUGUCGUGAG